AGUAUCUAUUUGACAGACUUGGAGCAGUUACUAUUUGCUGCUAGGUUUCCCCCACAGAUGCAAGAAAAAGUGUCUGCAUUUUCUGUGUAAUUGUGGAACCCGAGAUUGAAUAGAGGAAUACAGGA
ensembl:snoRNA